rnacentral:miRNA from 1 species
CAGUUGACUGACACUUGAGCGCU